rnacentral:rRNA from 1 species
CCUACGGGAGGCUGCAGUGGGGAAUAUUGCACAAUGGACGGAAGUCUGAUGCAGCAACGCCGCGUGCGGGAUGACGGCCUUCGGGUUGUAAACCGCUUUCAUCCAUGACGAAGCGAGAGUGACGGUAGUGGGAGAAGAAGCACCGGCUAACUACGUGCCAGCAGCCGCGGUGAUACGUAGGGUGCGAGCGUUGUCCGGAUUUAUUGGGCGUAAAGAGCUUGUAGGCGGUUUGUUGCGUCGGAAGUGAAAACUCAGGGCUUAACUCUGAGCCUGCUUUCGAUACGGGCAGACUUGAGGAAGGUAGGGGAGAAUGGAAUUCCUGGUGAAGCGGUGGAAUGCGUAGAUAUCAGGAGGAACACCGGUGGCGAAGGCGGUUCUCUGGACCUUUCCUGACGCUGAGAAGCGAAAGCGUGGGGAGCAAACAGGCUUAGAUACCCCAGUAGUC